GCAUCCAUGGCUGAAUGCUUAAAGCGUCCAACUCAUAAUUGGCAAAUUCGUAAUCUGUGGGUUCAACUGGAUGCA
rnacentral:tRNA from 1 species